UUGGUGUGUGGCUCUAGCCAUUUAAAGAUCACCUUGGGAAAAACAGUCAAACAGGUCAGCUGGUCUGGAAGAAGCAAGUGCUAAACCUCUGCAAGGAGAAAACUUUUCCAUGAACUUUUAUUUAAAAAAAAAAUCUUGGAGAUAAAACUUGCAGCUGAUCUGAAGUAGCAGGAAAUGAAUGGAAGAGGAGGCUGCUGUAAAGUGAAAGAGAUUAUGGACCUGCUGCCCAGUGUGUGCGCUCUUCCUGCCAAUUCAUGUGGGAUCUCUUGCCUUCAGUCUUACUCCUCACUGUUCCAGAAGAUGCUGUUCCAGAGACAGGAAUGCAGUAGAUCUCCCAGCUCAUGGACUCUGCCAUGGGCUGUGUCUCAGGUGUGCUGCUGGGCAAGUGACCAUGCUUAGGCCAUGGCUGCUGCCUUUUGCCAAGAGGUGUCCCUAAGGUGACAAGGUGA